rnacentral:rRNA from 1 species
UGGUGGAGUGAUUUGUCUGGUUGAUUCCGUUAACGAACGAGACCUCGACCUGCUAAAUAGUCGCGUUCACUUUCGGGUGGGCGUGGACUUCUUAGAGGGACUAUCGGUGUGUAGCCGGUGGAAGUUCGAGGCAAUAACA